rnacentral:rRNA from 1 species
GGCCCGCACAAGCGGUGGAGCAUGUGGUUUAAUUCGAUGCAACGCGAAGAACCUUACCUGGUCUUGACAUAUCUAGAAUCCUGCAGAGAUGCGGGAGUGCCUUCGGGAAUUAGAAUACAGGUGCUGCAUGGCUGUCGUCAGCUCGUGUCGUGAGAUGUUGGGCUAAGUCCCGCAACGAGCGCAACCCUUGUCCUUAGUUACCAGCGGGUUAAGCCGGGAACUCUAAGGAUACUGCCAGUGACAAACUGGAGGAAGGCGGGGACGACGUCAAGUCAUCAUGGCCCUUACGACCAGGGCUACACACGUGCUACAAUGGUAGGUACAGAGGGCAGCUACACAGCGAUGUGAUGCGAAUCUCAAAAAGCCUAUCGUAGUCCAGAUUGGAGUCUGCAACUCGACUCCAUGAAGUAGGAAUCGCUAGUAAUCGCGGAUCAGAAUGCCGCGGUGAAUACGUUCCCGGGCCUUGUACACACCGCCCGUCACACCAUGGGAGUUGAUUGCACCAGAAGUGGAUAGCUUAACCUUCGGGGAGGCGUUCACCACGGUGUGGUUGAUGACUGGGGUGAAGUCGUAACAAGGUA